rnacentral:lncRNA from 1 species
UGGUUCAUUUGUAUGUAUUUGGACUACGCCUGCGGUUUGUCUUCCUGUCCAGGGGGUGGAGCUGGAGAGCACCAGGCUGGUGAUCAGAGGGUGGAGCUGGAGAGCACUAGGCUGGUGAUCAGGUACCUAGACCGCUGGCUGUAGAGAACACCUCCCUCUCUUCAGAGGACCAACCCUAUAGGCCUCAUCACCUCCUCAGCCUCCCAGUACGCCUCCACAGGGACCAGGAGGAUGGCUCCCAUCAACGGUGACGAGUGUUUCUUCUGGAGGACCACCGGCUGUUUCUAUGGUGACAAAUGUCGCUUCAAACACAAGCCUGACUAGAGAGGAAGAGACAGGAAUCCAUGGCAACGCUGACCACCAUGACAACCCUGACCACCACACAGUGACUGGAUACUAGAGAGGGAGGAGAAUGAUGAAGAUUAAGGAAGAGGAUGAGGGACCGUGUCCCAACUUUAAAAGGGAACAGGAGGUUUGGGGGGAUGGUGGAUGGGGGACAGAACACUAGACAUAUAGAAUGAGUGUGUGAAGUGUAAAUCAAAGUGAAAAAGAAUGCACCUCUGAUUUCCUUCCCCCUCUCCCUCGGCAUGAUCUGUGAAACAUGUCAUCAUUGAUGUCAGAUGAUGGAG